AAUCUUAAAUUUUUUAAACUGCAAAUUUAAAAAAGAAAUAUUUCUAAGAUUU
rnacentral:tRNA from 1 species